CUGCCCUGAAGCGGCUCUCAGGCAGGCUUAGACGGCAGUGGAUCUGUCCACCAGGCUGUGGACCCCGUCCUGUAGGGCCCGGGUGGGUGUGGGGCAGGGGAGCAAGGCCGCACCCAUUACACAGGUGAAAACACAGAGAUGAGCAGGUGUGCUGGAAAGCUGGCAGAGCAGCUAGGCUUCCAGCCUGGGUCUGCCAGACCACAGAGCCCCGAGCCACAGCAGGCAGCCUCAGGGUGCACUGUCACUGGAACCCAGGCCCUAGACUCAGCCCACAUGCAGCUCCUUCCUGGUGGUUUCUAGGCCAAGGGUCCCUCGCUGGGUAAACUCAGCUGACAUCCUGUUCUGCCUUGGACCUUGCUCCUCCCCCUUCCACUGGGGACAUUGUGGGACUGUUCUUGACAUUCUCUGGCCCUGGUCAGCAAGACUUUGAUCUUCCCAGCACCUCUACACGAUUCUCAGCUCCACUUUUAUGAGGGGCAUGGAGCACAGGAAAAGGAGCCCAAAGCCAAGAGAUUAUUUGCCCUGACCAAGGGCAUGCAGAGCGAACUUGACCUUGACUCCAUGAAUGCCCAGGCCAGAGGAAGGUCAGGAAAGGAAGUUUAUUGGACAUCUACCACAUGCAGAGCUCCUGCCCACAAAACCAGCGGUUCACCUGUAAGUGGUCACAGCAGGAUUUGAAGGGUCUGACGCCAGAGGCUGAGCGGGCAGCCACUUGCCUCUGCAGCUGUGGGUGGAGAGAGGGAAAAAGAGAGGAGAGAUGU